GAUGAACGCUGGCGGCGUGCCUAAUACAUGCAAGUCGAGCGAACAGACGAGGAGCUUGCUCCUCUGGCGUUAGCGGCGGACGGGUGAGUAACACGUGGAUAACCUACCUAUAAGACUGGGAUAACUUCGGGAAACCGGAGCUAAUACCGGAUAAUAUAUUGAACCGCAUGGUUCAAUAGUGAAAGACGGUUUUGCUGUCACUUAUAGAUGGAUCCGCGCCGCAUUAGCUAGUUGGUAAAGUAACGGCUUACCAAGGCAACGAUGCGUAGCCGACCUGAGAGGGUGAUCGGCCACACUGGAACUGAGACACGGUCCAGACUCCUACGGGAGGCAGCAGUAGGGAAUCUUCCGCAAUGGGCGAAAGCCUGACGGAGCAACGCCGCGUGAGUGAUGAAGGUCUUCGGAUCGUAAAACUCUGUUAUUAGGGAAGAACAAAUGUGUAAGUAACUAUGCACGUCUUGACGGUACCUAAUCAGAAAGCCACGGCUAACUACGUG
rnacentral:rRNA from 1 species